UACGAAGGGGGCUAGCGUUGUUCGGAAUUACUGGGCGUAAAGCGCGCGCAGGCGGCUAUCCAAGUCAGUGGUGAAAGCCCGGAGCUCAACUCCGGAACUGCCAUUGAAACUGUUUAGCUUGAGGAUGAGAGAGGUGAGUGGAAUUCCCAGUGUAGAGGUGAAAUUCGUAAAUAUUGGGAAGAACACCGGUGGCGAAGGCGGCUCACUGGCUCAUUACUGACGCUCAGGCGCGAUAGCGUGGGGAUCAAACAGG
rnacentral:rRNA from 1 species